rnacentral:rRNA from 1 species
GUAGUCAAGCGAAGGGGUGACGCAGGAAGGUAGCCGUACCAGUCAGUGGUAACACUGGGGCAAGGCCGGUAGGGAGAGGCGAUAGGCAAAUCCGUCGCUCACUAAUCCUGAGAGGUGACGCAUAGCCGGUUGAGGCGAAUUCGGUGAUCCUCUGCUGCCAAGAAAAGCCUCUAGCGAGCACACACACGGCCCGUACCCCAAACCGACACAGGUGGUCAGGUAGAGCAUACCAAGGCGUACGAGAUAACUAUGGUUAAGGAACUCGGCAAAAUGCCCCCGUAACUUCGGGAGAAGGGGACCGGAAUAUCGUGAACACCCUUGCGGUGGGAGCGGGAUCCGGUCGCAGAAACCAGUGAGGAGCGACUGUUUACUAAAAACACAGGUCCGUGCGAAGUCGCAAGACGAUGUAUACGGACUGACGCCUGCCCGGUGCUGGAAGGUUAAGAGGACCCGUUAACCCGCAAGGGUGAAGCGGAGAAUUUAAGCCCCAGUAAACGGCGGUGGUAACUAUAACCAUCCUAAGGUAGCGAAAUUCCUUGUCGGGUAAGUUCCGACCUGCACGAAUGGCGUAACGACUUCUCAACUGUCUCAACCAUAGACUCGGCGAAAUUGCACUACGAGUAAAGAUGCUCGUUACGCGCGGCAGGACGAAAAGACCCCGGGACCUUCACUACAACUUGGUAUUGAUGUUCGGUACGGUUUGUGUAGGAUAGGUGGGAGACUGUGAAACCUCGACGCCAGUUGGGGCGGAGUCGUUGUUGAAAUACCACUCUGAUCGUAUUGGGCAUCUAACCUCGAACCCUGAAUCGGGUUUAGGGACAGUGCCUGGCGGGUAGUUUAACUGGGGCGGUUGCCUCCUAAAAUGUAACGGAGGCGCCCAAAGGUUCCCUCAACCUGGACGGCAAUCAGGUGGCGAGUGUAAAUGCACAAGGGAGCUUGACUGCGAGACUUACAAGUCAAGCAGGGACGAAAGUCGGGAUUAGUGAUCCGGCACCCCGAGUGGAAGGGGUGUCGCUCAACGGAUAAAAGGUACCCCGGGGAUAACAGGCUGAUCUUCCCCAAGAGUCCAUAUCGACGGAUGGUUUGGCACCUCGAUGUCGGCUCGUCGCAUCCUGGGGCUGGAGCAGGUCCCAAGGGUUGGGCUGUUCGCCCAUUAAAGCGGCACGCGAGCUGGGUUUAGAACGUCGUGAGACAGUUCGGUCUCUAUCCGCCGCGCGCGUCAGAAACUUGAGGAAACCUGUCCCUAGUACGAGAGGACCGGGACGGACGAACCUCUGGUGCACCAGUUGUCCCGCCAGGGGCACCGCUGGAUAGCCACGU